rnacentral:tRNA from 1 species
CAAAAUGUAGCUUAGAAAAGCCACUCGCUUACACCGAGAAGUCAUCUGUUAAACCCGGAUCGUUUUGA